rnacentral:misc_RNA from 1 species
CUGAGUGCGGGCCCUCUGGGUCCAACCUCCCACCCGUGUUUAUCGUACCUUGUUGCUUCGGCGGGCCCGCCAUCACGGCCGCCGGGGGGCAUCCGCCCCCGGGCCCGCGCCCGCCGAAGACACCAUUGAACGCUGUCUGAAGAUUGCAGUCUGAGCGAAAAGCAAAAUUAGUUA